rnacentral:lncRNA from 1 species
UAACUUGGGACUCAGCUGUGGCAGGGACAAGGGUUUUAGAUGAUUUUUCUGGGAGUGGCCUCUCUCCAAGAGGAGGAAGGAUAUGGGAGGUGCUCUUUGGGGACUGUGCCUGAGACACAGGUUUAUGAAUAAAAGUAAAUCUGCAUCCCGGGCUUCCGGAAAUUUUUGAGGGUAGGUUUAAAAUUUCCAUAGGGGAAGAGGAACAGGAACUGCAAAUUACUGAGGUAUUGUUACUUUAUUUCUAUCUGCAAGGUGAUGAGACCUUGGCGACAUGUGAACUACUCAUUGACUAACAAGACGAUUAGAAAUUGGUUCUCAAGACAUGCUUUAUGGAAUGUAACCUGGCUUCUCUGGACACAUACCAUUUGUCUUUACUGCAAGGAGAAAUUGACCCUCCUUGCCUUUAAAUGACUUGGAGUUCUCACAAAGGUAAGGAAGUGGACAGAC